rnacentral:rRNA from 1 species
CGGGCCGUUUCGGUGCCGUGCUUCCGUGUCACCCGACGCAUUUGUUUCCCGUCCGAAGGACGUCGCAACCGGUUUGGAAACGGCCUUAAGGGCGAGAGCCGGCAGGUGGCCGGUGGCGUUCCUCGUGUUCGUCGCCGGUUGUUAGCCUUCUCGUCGCACGGCUCGUGGCCAGACCGUGGUGUCGCGAGGCCCCUCAUGGGCCUCUUCGCCUCCUCCUCAUGGAUGCGGGUAGAAGCGUGGCAGGAGCUCGACCCUCUGCGGGCGCACGGACCGACUCCGUGGCCCAGCGUCGUGGUCGUCUUCGUUGGUCGCGCAGGGCCCGUAGGAGCGUUGGCGGUUAGCGGCGAGUAGAUCGGUCACCCACCCGACCCGUCUUGAAACACGGACCAAGGAGUCUAACAUGUGUGCGAGUCAAUGGGUCUCGAAUAAGCCCAGAGGCGCAAUGAAAGCAAAGGCACGGGAUACCGUGCUGUGUUGGGAUCCCUGCUCCUUCGCGGGCGGGGCGCACCAACGACCCGUCCUGUUCCACUUGUGGAUUGGGCGGAGUCUGAGCAUACACGUUGGGACCCGAAAGAUGGUGAACUAUGCCCGGGCAGGACGAGGCCAGAGGAAA